UUAAAAGAAAGCACAAACCAAAUCCCCUGUACACAUAUACGGACUCAGAGGAUGAGUUUUUUUGUGGGGAAAGCCUACAAAAAAACGGUUUCCCCAGGCCCCUCGAGUGAAAAUACCAGCCCUCAUCACUCCGCAGUCUGCCCCCCAGCCCACUGAUAGCAACCAUCAUAAUGCCCCACCCAGCUUCCGGCACCUUUCGCCACUCCGGCACAAACCGACACAGCUUUGCGAUCUCGCCAGCAUGCA